UUCACAGUGUUCCUAAUAGAUAGUUAUUAUUACACUAUCUUUAGCAACACUUUUGAGA
rnacentral:pre_miRNA from 1 species